rnacentral:lncRNA from 10 species
AUUCCUGCAUCUGGAGGCUGAGGCUGCUUGGACAGAGAAGUGCAUCCAGCUGCCAAGGUGAAGCUCUGAAGGGGCCUGUCCAUGAGAGCAGGGCCAAGAACGCCUAAGCCCACCAGUAAGAUGCAAGAACACCUGUGCGAAAUAAUAAUAAUGAUCAUAGCUGGGUGUGGUGCCUGACAGCUGUAAUCCCAGCACUCAGGGAGACAGAGGCAGGAGGAUCACUUGAGCCCAGGAGUUUGAGACCAGCCUGGGCAACCUGGCAACCCCUUCCCCACACCCCUUGUCUCCACAAAAACGACAAAAAAUUUUUAAAAUGAUAAUAAUAUAAAAUAGCACUAAUAAUAAAUGUUAUUCAGUGCUGCUGACCAGGUAUCACUCUAGACACUUAAAUGAACAGCAUUUUUGCUUUUUUGUUUCUUUGUUUUUGAGACAGAGCCUCACUCUGUCCCCCAGGCUGGAGUGCAGUGGCACCAUCUUGGCUUAUUGCAAACUCUGUCUCCUGGGUUCAAGUGAUUUUCAUGUCUCAGCCUCCGGAGCAGCUGGGAUUACAAGCGUGUGCCACCACGCCCAGCUAAUUUUUUGUAUUUUUAGUGGAGACGGGGGUUUCACCAUGUUGGUCAGGCUGGUCUCAAACUUCUGGCCUCAAAGUGAUCCACCCGUCUCAGCCUCCCGAAGUGCUGGGAUUACAGGCGUUAGCCACUGUGCCUGACCUAAAUGCGCAGCAUUUUUAAGCCUAAUGAUACAGUCAGAUGGGUAUUUAUUAUCCUCAUUUACAGAACAUAUAUUGAAUGAGUGAGCAUUAACUGAUCUUUCACCUUAUUAAUUCACUUAGUCAUUCACUCACUCAAUGGAUAAACAAUUAAUGAAUGCCAACUAUAUGCCAAAUACCAUGUGUGCUGGGUGUUGGGACACAAGCAGUCCUGUCUUUGUGAAUGUUACAGUAAAAUGUUGGAGGCUCUGAAGGGUGAGUGGUCAUUAAUUAGACGGUUAGACUAAUAAGAGGGGAAGGGAAAGGCAUUCCAGGUAGAAGGAACUCCAUGUGCUAAGGCACUGUGGGGGAAGGGCAUGUGUGGGGUGGGAGCAAUGCCUGUUGACUGAUGGUGUGCCAGAGAGGCAGAGAGCCACGCAGUUUACACCUGCUGGCUCACUGACCCUUACCACAGUCCUGUGAGAUAGCUACUGCUAUUAAUAUCAUUUUGUAGAUGAGGAAAUCGAGGCACAGAGAAGGUAAGUAACUUUCCCAAGGACACACAGCACCAUUAGCAGUGAAAGAGCAGCAGUUAUAACCCAGGCCUGUGACCAGAAUUCUGAACAUCUCUAAUCUUUAAGUAAAGGAAGGCAGGAGAAAUUGGUCCAUUUGGGGCAGGUGUGUUUUCUGGGAACCUUCCAGCACUAUUUUCACUUGCAGCUGUAGCCACAGGCUACAUAGAUGAUUUCCAGAAUGGAGGGGAAGAAGAGUGCACCCAGCCUUUCCUGGCCACAGGCAGGAAUCCUUUUAGCCAGUUAUUAAUGCUCAGCCACAGGAGAUGCCGCAGUGAGACACACAGAGGAGCCAGACCAGGGAGAGGCAGCAAGAAAGACAGCAUUGAUCCUGGAGGUAUACAUUUAGGAGAGAGAACCUGUCAGAACAGAAAGAGCUUGGACUUGGGACCAGGCCAACCUCAGCCCAAAUGGCAGCCCUGCUACCCACCAGCUCUGUGACCUUAAGUAAGUUUCCUCUUAGUCUCCAGUUCUUUAUUCAAGCAGAGUAAAAGUAUGCUUCCCGCCUCCCUCCCACCUCCAUCCUGUAGCCAACAGUCCCCCCUCCCCAGAGGCAGGCACUAUGACUAGUUUCAUGCAUCAUCUUCCGGGUAAAUUGUAGAGAGAUAGAUGGAUGAAUAGAAGUAUAUAUGUGUGUGUAUAAUAUAGUACACACAUAUAUGCAAAUAUUGUAACUAUUGGGAUGCUUUGACUAAGUACAAAAAAACCUACAGAUGCAAGAUUUACUUAUUAAGAACUGUGGAGAUAAUAAAUGCCUAAUUUCUGUGUCCAACUGCUCAUUAAUGUCUAGUAAGAAUCUCAAAUUUAACAUGGUUAAGAUUAAACUUUUAUUGUUAUUAUUAUUAUUUUGAGACAGAGCCUCACUCCGCUGCCCUGGAGUGCAGUGGUGCAAUCUUGGCUUACUGCAGCAUCA